rnacentral:rRNA from 1 species
UAAGCGUAGGGGGCAAGCGUUUGUCCGGAUUUAUUGGGCGUAAAGAGCGUGUAGGCGGCUAGAUAGGUCCUUGGUGAAAACUCCGGAGGCUCCAACCUCGAGACUUCGAUGGAAACCAUCUGGCUAGAGUCCGGAAGAGGAGAGUGGAAUUCCUGGUGUAGCGGUGAAAUGCGCAGAUAUCAGGAAGAACACCCGUGGCGGAAGGCGGCUCUCUGGUACGUGACUGACGCUGAAGACGCGGAAAAGCGUGGGGAGCAAACAAGG